rnacentral:rRNA from 1 species
UACGUAGGUGGCAAGCGUUGUCCGGAAUUAUUGGGCGUAAAGCGCGCGCAGGCGGUCUUUUAAGUCUGAUGUGAAAGCCCACGGCUCAACCGUGGAGGGUCAUUGGAAACUGGGAGACUUGAGUGCAGAAGAGAAGAGUGGAAUUCCACGUGUAGCGGUGAAAUGCGCAGAGGAUCGGGAGGAACACCCGUAGCGGAAGGCGGCACUCUGGGCCGGAACUGACGCUGAGGAGCGAAAGCGUGG